UACGUAGGGUGCAAGCGUUAAUCGGAAUUACUGGGCGUAAAGCGUGCGCAGGCGGUGAUGUAAGACAGUUGUGAAAUCCCCGGGCUCAACCUGGGAACUGCAUCUGUGACUGCAUCGCUGGAGUGCGGCAGAGGGGGAUGGAAUUCCGCGUGUAGCAGUGAAAUGCGUAGAUAUGCGGAGGAACGCCGAUGGCGAAGGCAAUCCCCUGGGCCUGCACUGACGCUCAUGCACGAAAGCGUGGGGAGCAAACAGG
rnacentral:rRNA from 1 species